rnacentral:rRNA from 1 species
CACGUAGGGUGCGAGCGUUGUCCGGAAUUAUUGGGCGUAAAGAGCUCGUAGGCGGUGUGUCGCGUCGGCCGUGAAAAACCUGGGGCUUAACUCUGGGCUUGCGGUCGAUACGGGCAGGCUUGAAUUCGGGAGAGGGAUGCGGAAUUCCACGUGUAGCGGUGAAAUGCGUAGAUAUGUGGAGGAACACCAGUGGCGAAGGCGACUCUCUGGGCUGUAACUGACGCUGAGGCGCGAAAGCGUGGGGAGCAAACAGG